GCACAGUGAUGAACUCUGAGGGCU
rnacentral:miRNA from 1 species